rnacentral:rRNA from 1 species
CUACGCUUGACAUGCCAGGAACUUUCCAGAGAUGGAUUGGUGCCCGAAAGGGAACCUGGACACAGGUGCUGCAUGGCUGUCGUCAGCUCGUGUCGUGAGAUGUUGGGUUAAGUCCCGCAACGAGCGCAACCCUUAUCCUUAGUUGCUACGCAAGGGCACUCUAGGGAGACUGCCGGUGACAAACCGGAGGAAGGUGGGGAUGACGUCAAGUCCUCAUGGCCCUUAUGUGUAGGGCUUCACACGUCAUACAAUGGUCGGUACAGAGGGUCGCCAACCCGCGAGGGGGAGCCAAUCCCAGAAAACCGAUCGUAGUCCGGAUUGCACUCUGCAACUCGAGUGCAUGAAGUCGGAAUCGCUAGUAAUCGCGGAUCAGCAUGUCGCGGUGAAUACGUUCCC